UACAGAGGUCUCGAGCGUUAGGCGGAAUCACUGGGCUUAAAGCGUGUGUAGGCGGAUCGGUAAGUACCUUGUGAAAUCCCACAGCUUAACUGUGGAACUGCUUGGUAUACUGCCAGUCUUGAGCCACUUAGGGGUUACCGGAACAAAUGGUGGAGCGGUGAAAUGCGUAGAUAUCAUUUGGAACGCCAAUGGUGAAAACAGGUAGCUGGGAGUGUGCUGACGCUGAGACACGAAAGCCAGGGGAGCAAACGGG
rnacentral:rRNA from 1 species